UGUAACACUCUUGCAUCAGGGAUGGCAACUCGUAGUGAAGCCACGAAGGCAGCUGAGGCUGUGCUUCAGUGGCAUGAGCUUGAGUGGCAUAAACAGGACAACAAGAGGAUGCUCCAUGCGGUUUACCGUGUCGGGGAUCUGGACCGCAUAAUCAAGGAUGUUACUAUAUUGUAAGUGACAUUUGCAACAUCUGCAAGUAAUAUCAUGGCUUUGAUGUGAUCUUUGUCAUUGUGGGAGGUAAUACACAGAAUGCUUUGGGAUGAAACUGCUGAGGAAAAGAGAUGUUCCUGAUGAGAAGUACACCAACGCCUUCCUUGGUUUUGGACCAGAGGACACCAACUUCGCACUUGAAUUGACAUAUAGUAUGUUCACUGAGCUGCCAAAAGUUUUGUGGCACAGUUUCUCCAAUAUGCCACUUAUGUUUGCAGUUGUACAAUAUGUAUCAAACCAAUAAGGAAAAUACAUUUAUCUCUUCAUAUGAACUGACCAACUCUUUUCCUGGUAAAGCAUUUCAAUUUUCGGUAACUUGUACUGUGCUAAAAAUUUACCCUUGCUCAACAGACUAUGGUGUUGACAAGUAUGACAUUGGAGAGCGCUUUGGGCAUUUCGGAAUCGCUAACGAGGAUGCAGUAUUAUCAAUUUGCAAUAGCCUAUGUCGAUGCUGUGAAAUUAUUAUAUUCAUAUGAUAUGAUGGAUGCAAAUUUUUAUUAUUUAGAUCAUGGAUGCAAAUGCAGGUGUACAAGUUGGCUGAGCAUGUUAAAUCCAAGGGUGGCAAUAUCACUCGUGAACCUGGUCCUGUCAAGGGAGGAUCCACUAUUAUUGCCUUUGCACAGGACCUGAUGGCUACAGGCCCUUGGGAUGAAGCUACUAACGAAGGACGUACCUGAUUAUAAGGAGGACUUGAGCAGCGUGGCUUGCGCGGCGGCGGAGAGGAAGGGGUGGGAGGAGAGGAGGCGGAGCAGGGUGGGCACCGCCAGAGACAGCCGCAGAGCACGCGCCAUCUCGUUGAGCGAAGUGGACGAGUUGUGCUGUUCGUUUACUUCCUGAUGAUCACGCUGGGCGCAGCCAAGGGGACUGCAAUCGACCUGGCCAAGUUCGUCGACAAGUGACAGGAACUUUAAAGGCAUAAUAUGACCAGCACUCAACUUAGUGCUAGAUGAAGCGGUUGAGUCUGAAAGAGAAUGAAGUUACCAGGGAAAGGGAAAACCAGACAGCUUGGCCUCAUUGCGUGCAGGAGCACGGCGGUCAUGCUGGUCUCACCAUGAGAUGGCGAACCCUUUCCUCGCCGAUGGGGCAUAAGCUUGCAUUGGUUGGUUAUAUACUCCUAUUUAGAACCCGAACGUUUUAAUUUUCACUGCACAAGUUCAAAUAUUGACCCUUGGUUGCUAAAGUGCUGCUGCUGCUAAGUAACUCUGUGUUUUUUCUGUUAAGAAUUAAUUAACUUAUGUUAAUUAGGGAUAAUCCCUGCCUCUCCCCUAACCACCGUCGCUUGCUAGGCAGCGGACGCGACUAUUGGCUCGUGUCUUUCUUCUAAAAGACACCUCUUGUAACACACCCUUUGGGAGGGUAUAAAUACCCACAUCAGUGAAUAAGAAAGUGCUGUUCGUUUGCUUUA